rnacentral:rRNA from 1 species
AUUGAACGCUGGCGGCAGGCCUAACACAUGCAAGUCGAGCGAGUGGCGGACGGGUGAGUAAUGUAUGGGGAUCUGCCCGAUAGAGGGGGAUAACUACUGGAAACGGUGGCUAAUACCGCAUACUAUAGGAUGAGCCCAUAUGGGAUUAGCUAGUUGGUGGGGUAAAGGCGCACCAAGGCGACGAUCUCUAGCUGGUCUGAGAGGAUGACCAGCCACACUGGGACUGAGACACGGCCCAGACUCCUACGGGAGGCAGCAGUGGGGAAUAUUGCGCAAUGGGCGCAACCCUGAGGCAGCCAUGCCGCGUGUAUGAAGAAGGCCUUAGGGUUGUAAAGUACUUUCAGUGGGGAGGCGUUACCCACAGAAGAAGCACCGGCUAACUCCGUGCCAGCAGCCGCGGUAAUAC